ensembl:lncRNA
GGUCCUUCCCCAGCGGCCGCGGAGCGCGAGGGGAGGCCCGAGAGCGCCCCCCGCCGCUGCCCGGCGUGCGCCCGGUCUGGCCCCCGCCGGGGGGACGCGACCAGGCGGGGACACCUGGAUUCCCCCAAACCCUAAAACGGCAGGUCUCCGGAAGAGAUUCUCCUCGGUCUAGCGACCCGGCAUUUAAGGACGCCGGAGCCAGCGGGGGACCUUCGGACUUCGCCAGCCGUGUUCCUGCAAGCGGAGAAUUUUUCCACACGGGCUCCAGAAGAGGCAGACCCCCAACCACCACCCCGGCCCGGCCCAUCCCGCCACGAGAUCAUCUCAGCUCGGAGCCGGGCGCCUUCUCUGGGGGCAGCUAGACCGGCUCUUGUUCCCGAGGGCCAGAUCCAGCCGCUUAUUGGAUGUCUCCAUCGCGAGGCCGAGCAGAGAACAGAAUUGACUGUGGCAUCUCCCUUCCACCACCACCAUCCUGCUCCUCCUUGUGUGGUUCCCUGCUUUGAUGAGCAGACGCGGCCCUCUCCUGCACUAACCUGAGUGCUUCCUCUGUCUCUCUCCUUCUCUCGACCCUACUACAUUAAGUCACUUCCACCUGAACCUACCCAGGGGGGCUCUCGUCCCUUCCUAGCCUGGCUGCUCGCCUUCCUUCCAGUCACCCUGCUGCCCACUUUCAACCUUCACACUUGUGGCCAGGAUCCUCUUUUUUAAAAAAGACAGGACACUGCAGGCUUGAAGGAGAGGGGCAAGGGAAAGAAAUGGGGAGAAAGGAAGAAGAAUGUCCAACUCACCUCAGUGAGUGCUGAAGACACAAAUUAUAUACUUUCAGAAGAAAUCUUCCUGUUAAGGAGAGUCUAAUGGUCAAAGGCUAAGGAACCACCGACACUCCCACCAGGAUCAGAGUGUCCGACCUGAGUGAUAUCCGUCAGUGCUGGGAGGAAGAUCAGCCUCCUAGGAGCAAAGAGGAAGGAUGAGCAUUAAGCAAGGGGCACAUGGCCAGGUACAGAAGUGAACAGAAAAAGAUUUGGAUAAAGUGAAGACUGCUUAAUUCCAGAAAGGGGAAAGAAGAGGGGACAGAGUAUAAUGGCCAAAUGGAAUCUGACUCAAAAGAUUUUCUGGAAAAGUUUGCCUGUUCCUUGUGCAAUACUAUUAACAAUAAAAUUUUUGUUUUGCCC